GGAUAUGAGAGCAGACUGGCUGUGACAUCUGUCAUCACAUUAAUUGUUAGGGACCAUUGGCUAUUGGCUGGAUGGCUGGCUCACUUCGUAUCCCCUUCUUCCCCUAUCAUGCCAUGUGUGUUUUUCUGAAGCUGCAGACCCAAUGAAAGAUAAUGACCUUCCCAGAUAGAAGAGGGUCUUUUUCAGUCAUAGUCCAUCUUUCAUUAGAACUUCCAACUUAGCUUUACCUGUGAAAGCAGCUAAGGUAUAUUUAUACAUGUUCAGCUUGUACCCAUUUUAAGAAGAAAAUCAUAUUAGAUAGAAAAGUGAUAGAUGGGUUCUUAAGC
rnacentral:snRNA from 1 species